AACGAACGCUGGCGGCAUGCCUAACACAUGCAAGUCGAACGAGACCUUCGGGUCUAGUGGCGCACGGGUGCGUAACGCGUGGGAACCUGCCUUUAGGUUCGGAAUAACUCAGAGAAAUUUGAGCUAAUACCGGAUGAUGUCUUCGAACCAAAGAUUUAUCGCCUUUAGAUGGGCCCGCGUUGGAUUAGCUAGUUGGUGGGGUAAAGGCCUACCAAGGCGACGAUCCAUAGCUGGUCUGAGAGGAUGAUCAGCCACACUGGGACUGAGACACGGCCCAGACUCCUACGGGAGGCAGCAGUGGGGAAUAUUGGACAAGGGGCGAAAGCCUGAUCCAGCAAUGCCGCGUGAGUGAUGAAGGCCUUAGGGUUGUAAAGCUCUUUUACCCGAGAUGAUAAUGACAGUAUCGGGAGAAUAAGCGCCGGCUAACUCCGUG
rnacentral:rRNA from 1 species